rnacentral:rRNA from 1 species
AUUGAACGCUGGCGGCAGGCUUAACACAUGCAAGUCGAGCGGGGAAAGGUAGCUUGCUACCUGACCUAGCGGCGGACGGGUGAGUAAUGCUUAGGAAUCUGCCUAUUAGUGGGGGACAACAUCUCGAAAGGGAUGCUAAUACCGCAUACGUCCUACGGGAGAAAGCAGGGGACCUUCGGGCCUUGCGCUAAUAGAUGAGCCUAAGUCGGAUUAGCUAGUUGGUGGGGUAAAGGCCUACCAAGGCGACGAUCUGUAGCGGGUCUGAGAGGAUGAUCCGCCACACUGGGACUGAGACACGGCCCAGACUCCUACGGGAGGCAGCAGUGGGGAAUAUUGGACAAUGGGGGGAACCCUGAUCCAGCCAUGCCGCGUGUGUGAAGAAGGCCUUUUGGUUGUAAAGCACUUUAAGCGAGGAGGAGGCUACCGAGAUUAAUACUCUUGGAUAGUGGACGUUACUCGCAGAAUAAGCACCGGCUAACUCUGUGCCAGCCGCCGCCGUAAAAC